UACAGAGGUCUCAAGCGUUGUUCGGAUUCAUUGGGCGUAAAGGGUGUGUAGGUGGCGCUGUAAGUCGGGUGUGAAAUUUCCGGAGCUUAACUCCGAAACUGCAUUCGAUACUGCGGUGCUUGAGGACUGGAGAGGAGACUGGAAAUUCAUGGUGUAGCGGUGAAAUGCGCCAGAUAUCAGGAGGAACACCCGUGGCGAAAGCGGCUCUCUGGACCGAGACUGACGCUGAGGCGCGAAAGCGUGGGGAGCAAACAGG
rnacentral:rRNA from 1 species